rnacentral:rRNA from 1 species
GCAGACGGGUGAGUAACGCGUGGAACCCAUCUCUACGGAACAACUCCGGGAAACUGGAGCUAAUACCGUAUACGUCCUUCGGGAGAAAGAUUUAUCGGAGAUGGAUGAGCCCGCGUUGGAUUAGCUAGUUGGUGGGGUAAUGGCCUACCAAGGCGACGAUCCAUAGCUGGUCUGAGAGGAUGAUCAGCCACACUGGGACUGAGACACGGCCCAGACUCCUACGGGAGGCAGCAUGGGGAAUAUUGGACAAUGGGCGAAAGCCUGAUCCAGCCAUGCCGCGUGAGUGAUGAAGGCCCUAGGGUUGUAAAGCUCUUUCAACGGUGAAGAUAAUGACGGUAACCGUAGAAGAAGCCCCGGCUAACUUCGUGCCAGCAGCCGCGGUAAUACGAAGGGGGCUAGCGUUGUUCGGAAUUACUGGGCGUAAAGCGCACGUAGGCGGAUUGUUAAGUUAGGGGUGAAAUCCCAGGGCUCAACCCUGGAACUGCCUUUAAUACUGGCAAUCUCGAGUCCGAGAGAGGUGAGUGGAAUUCCGAGUGUAGAGGUGAAAUUCGUAGAUAUUCGGAGGAACACCAGUGGCGAAGGCGGCUCACUGGCUCGGUACUGACGCUGAGGUGCGAAAGCGUGGGGAGCAAACAGAUUAGAUACCCUGGUAGUCCCGCCGUAAACUAUGAGAGCUAGCCGUCGGCAAGUUUUACUGUCGGUGGCGCAGCUAACGCAUUAAAGCUCUCGCCUGGGGAGUACGGUCGCAAGAUUAACUCAAAGGAAUUGACGGGGGCCCGCACAAGCGGUGAGCGUGGUUUAAUUCAAGCACGCGCAAACUCCAGCCCUUG